AAUAAUUUAAUGCCACAUCGGUAUUUUCAUCCCGAAUUUUAGUAUUUUUAUUUUGAAAAAAUUUAUAUCCAAAUAAAAAUCCUAAAAUUCAAGAUGGAACUGCAGAUGUGACAAUAAACUAUU
rnacentral:pre_miRNA from 1 species